CAAUAGCGUAUAUUAAAGUUGUUGCGGUUAAAAAGCUCGUAGUUGGAUUUCUGUUGGGACGACCGUUCCGCCCUCUGGGUGAGUAUCUGGUUCGGCCUUGGCAUCUUCUUGGAGAACGUCGCUGCACUUGAUUGUGUGGCGCGGUAUCCAAGACUUUUACUUUGAGGAAAUUAGAGUGUUUCAAGCAGGCGCACGCCUUGAAUACAUUAGCAUGGAAUAAUAACAUAGGACCUUGGUUCUAUUUUGUUGGUUUCUAGAGCUGAGGUAAUGAUUAAUAGGGAUAGUCGGGGGCGAUUCGUAUUUAACUGUCAGAGGUGAAUACUUGGAUUAUGAAAGACGAACUUCUGCGAAAGCAUUUGCCAAGGAUGUUUUCUAUUAAUUCAAGAACGAAAGUUGGGGGCGUCGAAGAUGAUUAGAUACCAU
rnacentral:rRNA from 1 species